rnacentral:rRNA from 1 species
UGCCAGACUCCUACGGGAGGCAGCAGUGGGGAAUAUUGCACAAUGGGGGAAACCCUGAUGCAGCGACGCCGCGUGAGUGAAGAAGUAUUUCGGUAUGUAGAGCUCUAUCAGCAGGGACGAAAAUGACGGUACCUGAGUAAGAAGCCCCGGCUAACUACGUGCCAGCAGCCGCGGUAAUACGUAGGGGGCAAGCGUUAUCCGGAUUUACUGGGUGUAAAGGGAGCGUAGACGGUUAUGCAAGUCUGGAGUGAAACCCCAUGGCUUAACCAUGGAACUGCUUUGGAAACUGUGCAGCUGGAGUGCAGGAGAGGUAAGCGGAAUUCCUAGUGUAGCGGUGAAAUGCGUAGAUAUUAGGAGGAACACCAGUGGCGAAGGCGGCUUACUGGACUGUAACUGACGUUGAGGCUCGAAAGCGUGGGGAGCAAACAGGAUUAGAUACCCUUGUACG